GUAUGCUACUUCCUCUGCAAAUUGGCCCCUUUUAAGACACCACAAUUCAUCUUCAAUGCCUCCCUUUAAGUAAAACACAAAACAAAACAAACCUUCUCCCACCUUUUCUUCUUCAGAUCUUAAUAUACAUUGCCUAAACAAAAUAAAGGGAUCGAAUUUAAGUUCCUUGAUCUAAUAAGAUCCGUGCUUUGCACUCAUGAAGAGACUUGGCAGCUCCGAUUCUCUGGGUGCUCUCAUGACCAUUUGUCCACCAACAGGUUAAUUGAAUUAAAACUUCGUUGUUUUUUUUUUAACUUUGUUUCUGUUUUCUCAAAAUUAUUUCAGACAGUUAGAUCCAUGAUGCGCGUUUCAUGUUUGUGCCUUGUCUUGUCUCUAACUUUUUUUGUGAUCAACCACGCCAAUUGCAGACUUUUCCUCCUUUUUAAAUUAACCCAAAUUCCUUAUUCUGUCCUUUGUUUUUGCAUUACAAUUUACAACUCAUCGUAUUAUGCUUUGUGCGUUUGUUUCAAGAGCAAACAACAAAACCAGUUGCACUAACCAUGAUUAUGUCCGAUUUGCAUUCAGACGAACACAGUCCGAGGAACAACCACGUGUAUGGCAGGGAGUUCCAGUCUAUGCUGGAAGGACUAGACGAUGAAGGGUGUGUGGAGGAACCAGGACACCACGCUGAGAAGAAACGAAGACUAAGCGUGGAUCAGGUGAAGGCUUUGGAGAAGAACUUCGAAGUAGAGAACAAACUCGAACCUGACAGAAAGGUGAAGCUGGCACAAGAACUUGGCUUGCAACCAAGACAAGUUGCGGUUUGGUUCCAAAACCGUCGAGCCAGGUGGAAGACAAAGCAAUUGGAAAGAGACUAUGGAGUCCUCAAAGCCAAUUAUGAUUCCCUC
rnacentral:lncRNA from 1 species